rnacentral:rRNA from 1 species
UAAUCGCGGAUCAGCACGCCGCGGUGAAUACGUUCCCGGGCCUUGUACACACCGCCCGUCACACCAUGGGAGUUGUUUUCAUUUUAAGACGUGACUCUAACCGCAAGGAGGAGAGCGUCUACAGUGGGAGCGAUGACUGGGGUGAAGUCGUAACAAGGUAGCCGUAGGGGAACCUGCGGCUGGAUCACCUCCUUU